GUUCAUCUCUCUUUCACAGCUGGGCCUUCGACACCUUCCAACAACAACAUGAGGGCAGGCCCGUGAAUACUAGUCUCUGGACUGCUGCCUGCAACUGACAUCUUGGAUUCAACUAGCCAAUACCGGGGCUGUCUCCGAGGUGAGACCCUGAGCUGUGGAGAAGAAGCGUAAAGAUCACUCAAGAAUACAGAGCUGCUAAUGAGGGAGGUUCCACCUCCAGCUGAUCCUGACCAAACACAGGGAUGGGCCAUAACAAGUGCUCUGUUCACAGUGGAAAGAGCCGAGAGGUCGCAGAGGAGCAGUGAGCAUGUGUCAAGGGUUAUGGAGGGACAGACACUUUGUUACCGACUUCAUUUUAAAUUAGAAGACACAGCAAGACAUUAAAAAAGAGGGUAUCAAAUAAAUGAUUAACAUUUAAAAGAACGAGUUUAUAAAGUAAUUAAACAAACUGAGGACAAGACUCUAGGAUAACUGUUUGAUGCUCACAAAAUGUUUGAACAAGCAAGUGAAAGCCCACAUCACACUCAAUGAAAACAAGCUUGAAGAUGAAGGACUGUUUUACAAAGCAUCUGUUAAACUGUGAGAGUAAACAUAAAAAGACACAAGGGAGUUCCAAUCUGAGGCUGCGCACUGAUUCACAGAGGAUGAAAUGCAACGGCAACAUGAAAUGGUCACAUAGAUUCUCAGGCGAGCCUCUCAGAUAGUCUCGGACCCCAGCCAGCCAUGGGGAGAGUCUCCUCUAAUCCCCCCCCCCAUCCCAGACAUGCCGUCUCUGGGAUUGCACGCCACUCAAUGCCCCCUCAGGUGGAUCUAAAUGAGAUCAGGCAAAGCUGGGAUAAGUGGAGUUUUUCUUCUGGGACUUUUUACAUUUGAGAUUGAGUCUCUAUUAAACCCUGGGAGAAGUCACAUUUUCCCCAUGAAAAUACAAA